AGAGUUUGAUCAUGGCUCAGGAUGAACGCUGGCGGCGUGCCUAAUACAUGCAAGUCGAACGGUUGGCUGAUUUCGGUUGGUCAACAGUGGCGCACGGGUGAGUAACACGUAGCUGACCUGCCCUUCGCUGGGGGAUAACUCGCCGAAAGGCGUGCUAAUACCGCGUACGCUCAGGGGACUUAGAACCCCUUGAGGAAAGCGUUUGUAGCGGCGAAGGAGGGGGCUGCGGACCAUCAGCUAGUUGGUGUGGUAAUGGCGCACCAAGGCAACGACGGUUCGGGGACCUGAGAGGGUGACCCCCCACACUGGCACUGAGAGACGGGCCAGACUCCUACGGGAGGCAGCAGUAAGGAAUAUUGCACAAUGGGCGCAAGCCUGAUGCAGCAACGCCGCGUGCCGGAUGAAGGUCUUCGGAUCGUAAACGGCUUUUAUCAGGGACGAGCAAGGACGGUACCUGACGAAUAAGUCUCGGCUAACUACGUGCCAGCAGCCGCGGUAACACGUAGGAGACGAGCGUUAUCCGGAUUUACUGGGCGUAAAGCGCGGGUAGGUGGGGUCUUAAGUCAUGCGUGAAAGCUCUCGGCUUAACCGGGAGAGGUCGUGUGAAACUGGGGCUCUCAGAGGUAGGUAGAGGCAGAUGGAAUUCCGGGUGGAGUGGUGAAAUGCGUAGAGAUCCGGAGGAACACCAGUGGCGAAGGCGAUCUGCUAGGCCUGACCUGACGCUCAGACGCGACAGCAUGGGGAGCGAACGGGAUUAGAAACCCCGGUAGUCCAUUCCGUAAACGAUGCAUACUAGACGUUAGGGAGGCAUAGCCUCUUUAGUGUCGAAGCCAACGCGAUAAGUAUGCCGCCUGGGGAGUACGAGCGCAAGCUUAAAACUCAAAGGAAUUGACGG
rnacentral:rRNA from 1 species